rnacentral:rRNA from 1 species
GACGGAGGAUGCAAGCGUUAUCCGGAAUGAUUGGGCGUAAAGCGUCCGCAGGUGGCAGUUCAAGUCUGCUGUCAAAGACCGGGGCUUAACUUCGGAAAGGCAGUGGAAACUGAACAGCUAGAGUAUGGUAGGGGCAGGCGGAAUUCCGGGUGUAGCGGUGGAAUGCGUAGAGAUCCGGAAGAACACCGGUGGCGAAGGCGGCCUGCUGGGCAGUUGCUGACACUGAGGCGCGACAGCGUGGGGAGCAAACAGG